UACGUAGGAGACUAGCGUUGUCCGGAAUUACUGGGUGUAAAGCGCGUGUAGGCGGCAUACCAAGUCUGUUGUGAAAUCGCCCGGCUCAACUGGGCGGGGUCAAUGGAAACUGGUAAGCUGGAGGACGGUAGAGGCGAGUGGAAUUCCCGGUGUAGUGGUGAAAUGCGUAGAGAUCGGGAGGAACACCUGUGGCGAAGGCAGCUCGCUGGGACGGUACUGACGCUGAGACGCGAAAGCGUGGGGAGCAAACAGGG
rnacentral:rRNA from 1 species